rnacentral:rRNA from 1 species
GAUGAACGCUGGCGGCGUGCCUAAUACAUGCAAGUCGAGCGAACGGACGAGAAGCUUGCUUCUCUGAUGUUAGCGGCGGACGGGUGAGUAACACGUGGAUAACCUACCUAUAAGACUGGGAUAACUUCGGGAAACCGGAGCUAAUACCGGAUAAUAUUUUGAACCGCAUGGUUCAAAAGUGAAAGACGGUCUUGCUGUCACUUAUAGAUGGAUCCGCGCUGCAUUAGCUAGUUGGUAAGGUAACGGCUUACCAAGGCAACGAUGCAUAGCCGACCUGAGAGGGUGAUCGGCCACACUGGAACUGGGACGCGGUCCAGACUCCUACGGGAGGCAGCAGUAGGGAAUCUUCCGCAAUGGGCGAAAGCCUGACGGAGCAACGCCGCGUGAGUGAUGAAGGUCUUCGGAUCGUAAAACUCUGUUAUUAGGGAAGAACAUAUGUGUAAGUAACUGUGCACAUCUUGACGGUACCUAAUCAGAAAGCCACGGCUAACUACGUG